ACUGGGCGUCGUGGCGGGCGCCUGUGAGCCAGCUUCUAGGCAGUAGAUCGGCGUGGAUGGAGUGAGGGGAGGAGUCCCGCGGUGGCCGCAGAGUGCGGAGACCGGGCGUCCGCGUCAAGCGUCGCGUCGCCAGGGGCGUGUGGUCGGAGGGCCGCGUGUCCCGGGCGGUCAAGGAGGGGUGCACGGCACAGGUCCGAAAGGGAGCAGGCAAAAGCCCCCGCGCGAAGCAGUGGCCAGAUCGCGCUCGUGAGCACCUGCACUGUCGUGGCCUCUCCAACACCUUCAAACCGCCGAUCGCUU
rfam:Angiostrongylus cantonensis strain Taiwan genome assembly, scaffold: ACAC_scaffold0000787